rnacentral:rRNA from 1 species
CGCACAAGCGGUGGAGCAUGUGGUUUAAUUCGAAGCAACGCGAAGAACCUUACCAGGUCUUGACAUCCUUUUGAAUAUACUAGAGAUAGUAUAGGCCUUCGGGACAGAAGAGACAGGUGGUGCAUGGUUGCCGUCAGCUCGUGUCGUGAGAUGUUGGGUUAAGUCCCGCAACGAGCGCAACCCUUGUCACUAGUUACUAACAUUUAGUUGAGGACUCUAGUGAGACUGCCAGUGAUAAACUGGAGGAAGGUGGGGAUGACGUCAAAUCAUCAUGCCCCUUAUGACCUGGGCUACACACGUGCUACAAUGGUCGGUACAAAGAGUCGCGAAGCCGUGAGGCCAAGCUAAUCUCAUAAAACCGAUCUCGGUUCAGAUUGUAGUCUGCAACUCGACUACAUGAAGUCGGAAUCGCUAGUAAUCGCGAAUCAGCAUGUCGCGGUGAAUACGUUCUCGAGUCUU